UUUCAUCCUACAGAGAGAGGUAGAGAAACUAGACUUGUGAAGUGACAGGUGUAGGUAAUGAGUACUGUACUCAUUUCGUCCCACAUUGACCAGCUAGUUAGAGCGAGAAGUGUUUAUAGCGCAUCGCGAAGCAAGAGGAGAAUGUCCCUUCGGGGACAUCCGAUAAAAUUGGAACGAUACAGAGAAGAUUAGCAUGGCCCCUGCGCAAGGAUGACACGCACAAAUCGAGAAAUGGUCCAAAUUUUUUUGGGAUUUUUUGCUCCUCUUCCUUCUCCGUCGUUCCGACUCAGAGUCCUCCGUUGUUCCAACUCUGCUUUGAGUUCAACGUAUUUAGAGGAGUGAAAUAAGGGAACGAAAAUUUAUUGGAGUUUUACUGAAGUUUGCGAGUUGUUUUCAAAACUCUGGAUUAAUGGGAGAAAAUAUAUCUCAACCAAGAAGGUUACUUCACCCUUCUUUUGAUUGAUCAAAGAAACAAAACCAAGAAGGUUACUUAAACUGGAAAGCUAGACAGCUGAAAAUCCGCCUUUUGUUAAGCAUGCAUUAUUGAAAUCAAAGAUGUCAGACUUGUAUUCACAGAAAUUCCAUUACACCACAAAUCACGUGUGGUUUCAUUACUCAUUAGCGCGGACGUUAGCUGUGCCACUCUUGCUUAUGUAGAAUGCCACGUUGGCACGCCGCAAGUAAGGUGUUUGAUGAAAUGCUUGUGUGAGAUGCAUACUCUGUUGGACUGCGUUGUUAUCUGGGUACUAUGGAAAUCAUUUUGCGAGGGUAUUCAUAGGUUGUUUAAGAAUUUGCCUCUGGAAGGCGGAGGCAACCAAUGCUAAACUGGGAAAAAUGUAGAUUCAGCAAUGUGAGGCAGAAGGGGGCUCUCUGAAGGAGAUCUUCAUGGGGAUAUAAUGCCAAUCCGUGGAGUUGGUUAGCUUCAAUAUGAAAGUCAGAUGUGAAACCUGGGCUUCUCUGGGAUUUGGUUGGCGUUUUGAAAUGAUGGCAUUCAGUCCCUCAACUGGAAAAGCCAAGAUUUUGAAGGAAGCACAAGAGUUCAACAUCCCUAUGAUCCAUCGCAUCUGAUUGAUCUCAACCUUUCAACUGAGUGAUCCAUGGACUAGCUUUAUAUACACUCUUCAUUGGGGCUCAAGGGAAUAAACCACUGAAGAAAUGGCAUAUCCGACUUAGUGAUGCUAUUAUGGAUAUAUCCUUCCAAAGGCGAGACGGGGAAAAAAGCAGUUGAAAGCAGAUGCUGUACUCUUUGCUAUGGGAAAGUCUGACUAAGAUGGGCAUUGAAAUGGCAUAUCCAUUGUCAUAUUCUUCUCUCUUAAGCUUUUACUUCAAGUAGUAUCAACUUUCCAAGAGUCGAAGCAGCCCCUUUGUUCCGAUUUCAAUUGUACUGCCUUUUUAGGCAGGUCUGAAACCACAAUGAGGAAAUAAGAGGCCUUAAUCAGAACGCAUGAAGGAAAAUCAGAUUGUGAUUACCUUCCAAGCAUCAUGACAGUAGCCUGAGGAUUUGUUCCGGGGGAGCCAUAAAACGUGGAUCCAUCAAUAACCCGCAACCCAUCCACCCCAAGCACCUUAUAGUCAUGAUCCACGAC